UGCAGGGUGAACAAAUGGCGUUGAGUUGUCUUCGGGAGGCAGGGGUCGGAGGUUCGAAUCCUCUCACUCCUACCA
rnacentral:tRNA from 2 species